UUAAUAUUCCCUUCAUCUGGAAAUACUUGUCGAAGAAAUGGAUGUAUCUAUAUAUAUUUUAGUUCUUGAUACAUUUAUUUUUAUCUGUUUUUCCAACAGGUAUUUUCAGACGGAGCAAGUACUUA
rfam:Triticum urartu cultivar G1812 contig1307379, whole genome shotgun sequence.